rnacentral:rRNA from 1 species
GACGAAGGGGGCUAGCGUUGUUCGGAAUUACUGGGCGUAAAGCGCGCGCAGGUGGUCUUUCAAGUCAGUGGUGAAAGCCCGGAGCUCAACUCCGGAAAUGCCAUUGAAACUGUAAGACUUGAGGAUGAGAGAGGUGAGUGGAAUUCCCAGUGUAGAGGUGAAAUUCGUAGAUAUUGGGAAGAACACCGGUGGCGAAGGCGGCUCACUGGCUCAUAUCUGACGCUCAGGCGCGACAGCGUGGGGAUCAAACAGG